rnacentral:rRNA from 1 species
UACGGAGGGUGCAAGCGUUAUCCGGAUUUACUGGGUUUAAAGGGUGCGCAGGCGGAUAUGUAAGUCAGUGGUGAAAUCUCUAGGCUUAACCUGGAAAUUGCCGUUGAUACUAUAUAUCUUGAAUGCUGUGGAGGUAAGCGGAAAUAUGUCAUGUAGCGGUGAAAAUGCUUAGAUAUGACAUAGAACACCUAUUGCGAAGGCAGCUUACUACGCAGAUAUUGACGCUCAUGCACGAAAAGCGUGGGGGAUCAAAACAGG